rnacentral:rRNA from 1 species
CAAGUUACUCAAAGCAUAGAGUGGAUGCCUUGACAUCUAACUUCGAUGAAGGACGUGGCUAACUGCGAUAAGCCUCGGUGAGCCGUCAGCAGGCUAUGACCCGGGGAUUUCCGAAUGGGGGAACCUAAUCCGAGUCAUGUCGGAUUAUCUGCCGCAAGGCAGAGGAGCACUUGGCGAACUGAAACAUCUUAGUAACCAAGGAAAAGAAAUCAAUUUGAGAUUCCCUUAGUAGUGGCGAGCGAACAGGGAAAAGCCCAAACCCGGCUGUUUCGAUGGUCGAGGGUUGUAGGACUCCAAUGUGGUUUAUAUUUCUUAUUCAAAGGUCUCUGGAAAGAGCCACCAAAGAAGGUGAUAGUCCUGUAGAUUAAAAGACAAUAUAAACCUAGGAGUAUCCUGAGUAGAAUCGGACACGUGUAAUCCGGUUUGAAUCUGGGGGGACCACCCUCCAAGGCUAAAUAGGUUAGAUGAUCGAUAGUGAACAAGUACCGCGAGGGAAAGGUGAAAAGACCCCCUGUGAGGGGUGUGAAAUAGAACCUGAAACACUAUGCUUACAUAGACCGAGAGGUUGCCGCAAGGCGACUGAUCGGGUGCUUAUUGGAGAACGAACCAACGAGUUAGCUGUGCAGUGCGAGGUUAAGGGAGCAAUACCCGAAGCCGUAGUGAAAGCGAGGAUGAAUAGUCCGAUUAGUAUUGCACACUAGACCCGAAGCCGGAUGAGCUACCCUUGGGCAGGUUGAAUAUUAGGUAAACCUAGUAGGAGGACCGAACCCCCCAGUGUUGCAAGACAGGGGGAUGUCCUGAGGCGAGGCUAGAGAAAGGCUUAUCGAAUUCGGCGAUAGCUGGUUCUCCUCGAAAUAGUCUUAGGGCUAGCCUCGGUUAUGAACCUGAAGGGGGUAGAGCUCUAUUUAGGCUAGGGAGCGAAAUAAGCUUACCAAACCUAGAUAAACUUCGAAUACCUUCAGCGAAUCACCGGGAGUCGGUCGAUGAUAGUUAAGUACCGUCGACAAAAGGGGAACAGCCCGGACCAUCGUCUAAGGUCCCUAAUGAGAUUUAAGUGUUGAAGGAUGUGAGGUUGCUUACACAACCAGGAUGUUUGCUUAGAAGCAGCAAUCAUUUAAAGAGUGCGUAACAGCUCACUGGUCUAUGUGAUCUCGCGCCGAAGAUGUAUCGGGGCUAAAAUCUCAACCGAAGACAUGGAUUUUCGCGCAAAGCGCGAAAAUGGUAGAGGAGCAUUCCUACUGCAGUGAAGCAGCAUCGUAAGGUGCUGUGGAGCAGCAGGAAGAGAGAAUGUUGGUAUGAGUAACGUUAAUAAAGUGAAAAACUUUAUCACCGAUUGUCCAAGGUUUCCCAAGCAACGGUAAUCGGCUUGGGGUUAGUCGAUCCUAAGGUAUAGCUGAAAAGCGAAGCCGAUGGAUGACAGGUUAAUAUUCCUGUACAGCUUUGGAAUCGCCAGAGCAAUGUUGGAAGGGAGCAGAAGUUUGAUUGUUUGCCUUCGGGCAAACUUUCAAACACCUGCGAACGGAAGACUGCGCUAGAUUGGGGGUGACGCAGAAGGAUAGCUGGAGCGCAUUAAUGAAUUUGCGUGCAAACUGCAAGUUUAUGCUCUUAUAGGCAAAUCCGUAAGAGUUAGCGAGCAGUGAUGCCGAAUACCUCGCGCAAGCGAGACGAGUCUGGUGUAUUCAUCUGCCAAGAAAAACCUCAUAAUCGAGAUUUCAAGGCUUUCGUACCGAAAACCGACUAAGGUGGACAAGGAGAGUAUCCUAAGGUGAUCGAGCUAUGCUUCCCCAAGGAACUCGGCAUAACAGCAGGCGUAACUUCGGGAUAAGCCUUGCCUUAUGGACUAUGCAGCAAUGUUUAGUCUGUGAGGCCGCAGCGAAAGACAUCGGGAGACUGUUUACCAAAAACACAGGUCUCUGCAAAUUCGUAAGAAUAUGUAUAGGGGCUGACACCUGGCCAGUGCCAGAAGGUCACGAGGAGGGGUGUAUGCUCCGAAUCUAAGCCCUGGUGAACGCCGGCCGUAACUAUAACGGUCCUAAGGUAGCGAAAUUCCUUGUCGGGUAAGUUCCGACCCGCACGAAUGGUGUAACUAUCCGAUGACUGUCUCAGGGAAGCACUCGGUGAAAUUGCAGUAUCGGUAAAAAUGCCGAUUUAUCACGGGAGGGCGAAAAGACCCCGUGAAGCUUUACUACAACUUGGCAUUGAGACGAGAUAUAUUUUGCGUAGCAUAGGUGGGAGACUGUGAUGGUCUGCUUCCGGGCAGACCGGAGUCAUCAGUGAAAUACCACUCUGAAUAUAUUUUGUUUCUAACCUCGCAUUGCGAGGGACAGUGCUUGGCGGGUAGUUUAUCUGGGGCGGAUGCCUCCUAAAGAGUAACGGAGGCGCGCAAUGGUUGGCUAGCUUCGGAUGGAAAUCGAAGUGGUCGUGCAAACGCAUAAGCCAGCUUAACUGUGAGGCAUACAAGCCGAGCAGAUGCGAAAGCAGGCGUUAGUGAUCCGAUAGUUGUACGUGGGUACGCUAUCGCUCAACGGACAAAAGCUACUCCGGGGAUAACAGGCUAGUCGGGCCCAAGAGUUCAUUAUAGAGCUCCUUCUGAUAGUAAUAUCAGAAUGAAUAAGCGACUCAAAUCGGUGGAACCCUUUUACAUUUCAUUGAAAAAUGAAAAGGGCAAUACCGAGGGUAAGAUAACUUGUUAUAGAUACUUUUCUUCAAAAGUGUCUAUAUGCUAACCUUGGAAUCAUAUUCCAAGUAUGCUUUACAAGUUAUCCCCUUAACGACUGAUGUUCCAUUUAACGGAACUGAGAUAGAAAAAUUAUUUCUAUCAUACGUCGCUAUCCUGAAAAGGAUAAUGGUAUAGUCUGCGCCAUUAGUAAUAAUGGAUACGCGUCAUAUCGACGGCUCGGUUCGGCACCUCGAUGUCGGCUCAUCGCAUCCUGGGGCUGGAGAAGGUCCCAAGGGUCUGGCUGUUCGCCAGUUAAAGCGGUACGCGAGCUGGGUUCAGAACGUCGUGAGACAGUUCGGCCUCUACCCUCCGUGAUCGCAGGAACUUUGAAGGGAAUCUGCCCAUAGUACGAGAGGACCUGGGUGGACAAACCUCUGAUAUAUCUGUUGUCGCGUCAGCGGCAUAGCAGAGUAGUUAUGUUUGGUCUGGAUAAACGCUGAAAGCAUCUAAGCGUGAAGCCGUACCCAAGAUUAGAGUUCCCAAUCAACCUCCCCGUAGACGACGGGGUUGAUAGGCUGCAGGUGUAAGAUUAGCAAUAAUUUUAGCCGAGCAGUACUAAUAGGUGAUUGUACUUGUUUAAUUUAUUUUCGGUUC